rnacentral:rRNA from 1 species
AACGAACGCUGGCGGCAUGCCUAACACAUGCAAGUCGAACGAGACCUUCGGGUCUAGUGGCGCACGGGUGCGUAACGCGUGGGAACCUGCCUUUAGGUUCGGAAUAACUCAGAGAAAUUUGAGCUAAUACCGGAUAAUGUCUUCGGACCAAAGAUUUAUCGCCUUUAGAUGGGCCCGCGUUGGAUUAGCUAGUUGGUGGGGUAAAGCCUACCAAGGCGACGAUCCAUAGCUGGUCUGAGAGGAUGAUCAGCCACACUGGGACUGAGACACGGCCCAGACUCCUACGGGAGGCAGCAGUGGGGAAUAUUGGACAAUGGGCGAAAGCCUGAUCCAGCAAUGCCGCGUGAGUGAUGAA